UUUUUUUUUUUUUUUUUGAGACGGAGUUUCGCUCUUUGACAUAGGCUGGAGUGCAGUGGCGCGAUCUCAGCUCCCUGCAACCUCCAUCUCUUGGGUUCAAGCGAUCCUCCUGCCUCAGCCUCCUGAGUAGCUGGUGUUAUAGGCACCCGCCACCAUGCCCAACUAAUUUUUGUAUUUUUAGUAGAGACAGAGUUUUGCCAUGUUGGCCAGGCUGGUCUUGAACUCCUGGCCUCAGGUGAUCUACCUGCCUCAGAAUCCCAAAGUGCUAGGAUUACAGGUGAGAGCCACCAUGCCCGGCCUAUCUCAUGUAUCUUUGGUGGGCACCCCUCCACUCUUCGGGCAAACAUCAUUUUGAAAUACAGUAUAUUUUCAAUUCGAUAUUUAAGGUCCUCAAGGGAACAACAUCAUAAGAUGUUUAUCUUUUCCUCCUGAAACACGUGGUGGUAAAUGCUUCACAGAUAUUCAUCUCUACCCCUUACCUUCAGAAGCCAUAGGGAUGUUGCUUUGGUUUGGGUUUUGGGUUCUGUUGGAGUGUUUACCUUCUGCAUAGUUGUUUAAGAGAUAACCGUGGGCUACAGGAGAAGCAGAGACGUUUUUGGACUACUCUUCUUUCCCCUGACCAUCCUGAUGGGCAUAAUUGCUACUGCACCAGCCUCAUUCUUUCUCCCGGGUCCACUCCUGCCCCUUCCAGCCUGUUGUCCAUGUGGCAGCCAGAGAGGUCAUUGUGGAGUGUGAAGGUCGCAGUGCCCCCUGCUCAGACAUCCACGAUGCUCAUGACAUCGCACAAAACCCUCCUUCCUCAUCAUGGCACUCAAGGCUGCUCCCUGCCAGCCUCUCUGGCCUGCUCCAACCUCAGUGCGCCCCAAACAGACCUUCUCUCUGACCUUUGAACUUGCUGAACCCUUUUCUACCUCAGGGCGUUCGCACUAUCUCUUCCCCCUGCCGGGAACACUGCCCCCGAGUUUUACACGGCUGUCUUUUUCUGAUCCAGGCCUCAGAUACCACCUCUUCAGAGAGGUCCUCCUGGUCACUUCAUCGAUGUGGCCCCCCGCUGAGUCACUGUCAGCCCCAGCCCUCAUUUAUCUCCUUUACAGCACCGAGCGCUGCAGGUCAGGGUCUAAUUCAUCUGCGAGUUUGUGUCUUCGCUGUCACCCUCUACCAGUGCCAUGAGAUGGGAACACGUCUGCCUGUGCCCUGAUGAAGCCCAGCACGGCCACCAUGCCUGGCAUGGAGCAGACACUUAGGCAGUGCUUCUUACAUAUGCACCUCAGGGAAUGGGGCCAGCGAUGGUCUGUCCAGGUUCCCUAACCUUCCCUUCCCACCCAAAUGAAUGACGUUCAGAGACAGGGACACUGGGUCAUCCCAACUGCUCCCCUCCUGGUCAUCAGAGGCCAGACCCACAGGACAGGGAAGUCUCAGGAGGCCCCUCUGGGAGGUGUUCACGGCUAUGAAUCACUGCAGAAGGGAAUGAGCUGGGCAGCUGGUGCCCUUCAUCUGGGUCGCAGCCAGGUGGAGAUUUGAACGAAAUCCUUUGGCAAAGAGCAAGCAAAUCUCCCAGGGAUGGCGACUUGUCAGAUGUCAGCGGGUCUGGAAAACAGCAAUCACUCCUAAUCCAAAAAUCAGCCUGAGCAGGGCCGGAAGGGGUCCUGCAGGCCUUCACGUCACCUUCUACAGACUCCAUGUUGAAACCAGCCUCGACGCCAGGAGUCUCUCCUUAUUAGGUAUAAAGGUCAUCUUAAAAGAUUCCUUCACUUCUCCCACCACCCAUCCUGAAGACAGACAAUUAAUCUGGCAAAUGCUGACUGGUGACUACUCUGUGCCAGGCUGUGCCCUCAGCAUAGGGGGGAUGUGGACACAAAACAAGCUCCCUGCACCCCUGAGCUCAGCAGGUCACUGGGGAAGACUGUUGCUAGGCAAGUGAC
rnacentral:lncRNA from 1 species